rnacentral:misc_RNA from 1 species
GGGGUUGUUUUACGGCGUAGCCUCCCGAACACCCUUUAGCGAAUAGUUUCCACAACGCUUAGGGGACAGAAGACCCAGCCGGUCGAUUUGAGGCACGCGGCGGACCGCGUUGCCCAAUACCAAGCGAGGCUUGAGUGGUGAAAUGACGCUCGAACAGGCAUGCCCCCCGGAAUACCAGGGGGCGCAAUGUGCGUUCAAAGAUUCGAUGAUUCACUGAAUUCUGCAAUUCACAUUACUUAUCGCAUUUCGCUGCGUUCUUCAUCGAUGCCAGAACCAAGAGAUCCGUUGUUAAAAGUUUUAAUUUAUUAAUUAAGUUUACUCAGACUGCAAAGUUACGCAAGAGUUUGAAGUGUCCACCCGGAGCCCCCGCCCGAAGGCAGGGUC